AGGAGGAACUUUCUGCAUGUCCCAAGUCACAGAGCCACUGAAGAGGCAGUGCAGGUCCUAAGACUUAUGGCCAGCUUUCAACAGCCUUGUGUUCUGCUGUCUUCCCUGACAUGGCACCGAUUGGGAAACAGACAAGCAUGAAAGAAAGACCACGUGGGGACACAGGGAGAACUUGAUCAUCUACAAGUCACAGAGAGACACUUCAGAAGGAACCAACUCUGUCAACAGCUCAGUGUGACCUCUUGUCUCCAAAAUUCUAAGAAAAAUUUCUGUCAGUUGAGCAAGAGUCUGCAGCCCUCAGCUACAAAAGCCCGGCAAGCUAACACCCCACCCACUCAUCCCCCACCUCCAGGAAAGAUGCCCCUGGGACUUCCUGGUGAGAAGAAUAAAAACCAGAGAUUUACCUCUACCCCCCA